AGAGAGAAGAUCCGUUGGCAGGCAGGGGCAGCUGUAUUCUUCUACUUUUCAUCUUCUUGUUCUAGUUGACGUUUUCUUAGGUGUGUGUGACGUGGCGUAAGGUCACAUAAUUGCCUAGUUCUUGCACAAGACAAAACUGAAACGUCUAC
ensembl:ncRNA Y57E12B.8 ncRNA